rnacentral:rRNA from 1 species
AAUUGUUCGCCAGAAAAUUACGGGUGAAAACCUAAAACUCAAAAGACUUGACGGUGUCCCAAUCCUGCCUAGAGGAGCCUGCUUCAUAAUCGAUAACCCCCGUUCAACCUAACCUUCCCUUGAAACCUACUUUCAGCCUAUAUACCGCCGUCCUUACCGCUUACCUUCUGAAAGAUGUACUAGUAAGCUCAACAGCACUUAACUAAAAAGUCAGGUCAAGGUGUAGCCCAUGGGAAGGAGAAAGUGGGCUACAUUUUCUACUUCAGAAUACACGAAAUAUACUCUGAAAUAAAGUAAAUGAAGGCGGAUUUAGUAGUAAG